CCUACGGGCGGCAGCAGUGGGGAAUAUUGGGCAAUGGAGGAAACUCUGACCCAGCAACGCCGCGUGAAUGAUGAAGGUCCUCGGAUUGUAAAGUUUUUUUUUAAGGGAAGAAGAAAGUGACGGUACCUUAGGAAUAAGCCUCGGCUAACUACGUGCCAGCAGUCGCGGGAAUACGUAGGAGGCGAGCGUUAUCCGGAAUGACUGGGCGUAAAGGGUGCGUAGGGGGUUUGGCAAGUUAGUAGCGUAACUCCGAGGCUCAACCUUGGAACUACUACUAAAACUGUUGGACUUGAGUGCAGGAGAGGCAAGCGGAAUUCCUGGUGUAGCGGUGGAAUGCGUAGAUAUUAGGAAGAACACCAGUGGCGAAGGCAGGUUACUAGACUGUAACUGACACUGAGGCACGAAAGCGUGGGGAGCAAACAGGAUUAGAUACCCCUGUAGUC
rnacentral:rRNA from 1 species